rnacentral:rRNA from 1 species
UACGGGGGGGGCUAGCGUUGUUCGGAAUUACUGGGCGUAAAGCGCACGUAGGCGGAUAUUUAAGUCAGGGGUGAAAUCCCGCAGCUCAACUGCGGAACUGCCUUUGAUACUGGGUAUCUUGAGUAUGGAAGAGGUAAGUGGAAUUGCGAGUGUAGAGGUGAAAUUCGUAGAUAUUCGCAGGAACACCAGUGGCGAAGGCGGCUUACUGGUCCAUUACUGACGCUGAGGUGCGAAAGCGUGGGGAGCAAACAGG